rnacentral:rRNA from 1 species
CCUACGGGUGGCAGCAGUGAGGAAUAUUGGUCAAUGGGCGUAAGCCUGAACCAGCCACGUCGCGUGAGGGAUGAAGGUUCUAUGGAUCGUAAACCUCUUUUAUAAGGGAGUACGGUGUGGGACGUAUCCUGUUUUGUAUGUACCUUAUGAAUAAGGAUCGGCUAACUCCGUGCCAGCAGCCGCGGUAAUACGGAGGAUCCGGGCGUUACACGGAUUUAUUGGGUUUAAAGGGUGCGUAGGCGGUCUUUUAAGUCAGCGGUGAAAGUCUGUGGCUCAACCAUAGAAUUGCCGUUGAAACUGGGGGGCUGGAGUAUGUUUGAGGCAGGCGGAAUGCGUGGUGUAGCAGUGAAAUGCUUAGAUAUCACGCAGAACCCCGAUGGCGAAGGCAGCUUGCCAAGCCAUGACUGACGCUGAGGCACGAAAGCGUGGGGAUCAAACAGGAUUAGAUACCCUGGUAGUC